rnacentral:tRNA from 1 species
GCAUCUGUAGUGUAGGGGUUAUCAUCCCAGCCUUCCAUUACCUAGUAAUCGGUAGCUGGGGACUCGGGUUCGAGUCCCGACAGAUGCA